CUACGGGUCGCUGCAGUGGGGAAUAUUGCACAAUGGGCGCAAGCCUGAUGCAGCCAUGCCGCGUGUAUGAAGAAGGCCUUCGGGUUGUAAAGCACUUUCAGCGGGGAGGAAGGGAGUAAAGUUAAUACCUUUGCUCAUUGACGUUACCCGCAGAAGAAGCACCGGCUAACUCCGUGCCAGCAGCCGCGGUAAUACGGAGGGUGCAAGCGUUAAUCGGAAUUACUGGGCGUAAAGCGCACGCAGGCGGUUUGUUAAGUCAGGUGUGAAAUCCCCGGGCGCAACCUGGGAACUGCAUCUGAUACUGGCAAGCUCGAGUCUCGUAGAGGGGGGUAGAAUUCCAGGUGUAGCGGUGAAAUGCGUAGAGAUCUGGAGGAAUACCGGUGGCGAAGGCGGCCCCCUGGACGAAGACUGACGCUCAGGUGCGAAAGCGUGGGGAGCAAACAGGAUUAGAUACCCCCGUAGUC
rnacentral:rRNA from 1 species